GGGAGAAGCAGGCUCCAUGCAGGGAGCCCGACGUGGGACUUGAUUCCAAGUCCCCAGGACCAUGCCCUGGGCGGAAGGCAGACGCCCAACCACUGAGCCAUCCAGGGAUCCCCUCCCUUCUCACUAUCUUCUCCACUAACUACCCAAAAGGUACAGAUUUUGUCAUGUGGGAAAUCCGGCCUUCUCUGAGACUUCCCCGUGGUCCGCUCUAACUGCAGACGGUAUAACACCUCCCAGAAAUUGAGCCAACCAAGAUUUUGCUUUAGGAGGACCAUCCCAGGUUGUUCACCUCUAAAAUGUGAAUAUUUACUAAAUGCAGUUAUGAAGAUGUGCAUUUAGCACAACUCCUGGCACAUAUAAAUGGUAGUUGCCAUUAUUAUUUUGAUGAAUGUACAAAUUUGAGGAAAUGAUACUCUAAGGAACAUCCUAGAGAGUCAACAAGACAUUGAUUCGUGGGAUGAAGUGUUGAGGAGCAGCCUUGGGAGGCCAGUGAAGAAGAGGUGAAGAAGAGGUGACCCACAUGCACAACAUCUAUCUCCCACUUCCACACAGGUGAACCUAGUAAACCCAAACUCAGGUUCAUUCCUCUCUAAGGUUCAAGACAAGAAAGAUUUGACUCAGGAAACACUUGAAUAGCCUACAAAUUGGAUCUCACCAGGACUCUUCCAGCCCUGAAAUCCUGUGUCUAAUUUCCAGGGUGAAGGUCAGGACCUACUUAUCCAUAGACAGAUAACCAGGUGGGUUCACUCACCUCUUGGACUUCUAAAUAUUGACUUCUGGAAUGCUUCUACUGUGCUAUACAUUCAACAGGAUUUCAAAACCUUAUUGAUAUUGGAACUUUGUUUAUUUUGAAGAAGAUAAUUCAAGUCACCUCACAUCAUAUUGAAAUGACUGGUACUUGAACCAUGUUUGGAUACAGUCUGCUUUGGUGGCCUGCUUAAAUUUCUAUUAUUGGUGAAGACCUGUCCACCAGCCCCAUUCUCUGCCUGAAUAUUCCUGUCUUUAUGGGAAUAAAUCACCACUUUC